CACAAGAGGCUACUGGAGUUGGCGUCGCUUCGACCGUCCCUGUGGCUGCUGUCUGUUCUGUCCUGAUCGUCGUCACCGCUGUGGUCGUCAUAUUUCUUGUUCGUAGAAAACAGACACGUGAAGAGAGGGGAUACAUUCAUAACCGCGUAGUCACAUAUACCCGGGACGAGGAAACAGACGGAAGCUACCAGGAAAUAGAAGAGGGAGGAUCCAUUCAAAAUCGGUGAGU